CAGGACGAACGCUGGCGGCGUGGUUNAGACAUGCAAGUCGAACGAGAGGCUCCCUUCGGGGAGUGGAGAGUGGCGCACGGGUGAGUAACACGUGAGCAACCUGCCGGGAAGCCCGGGAUAGCCCUCCGAAAGGAGGAUUAAUACCGGAUGUGGCCACCCUGCGAUUGCGGGGGAAGCUAAAGGAUUUAUUCACUUCCCGAGGGGCUCGCGGCCCAUCAGCUUGUUGGUGAGGGUAACGGCCCACCAAGGCGACAACGGGUAGCUGGUCUGAGAGGAUGGUCAGCCACACUGGAACUGAGACACGGUCCAGACACCUACGGGUGGCAGCAGUCGAGAAUCAUUCGCAAUGGGGGAAACCCUGACGAUGCGACGCCGCGUGGAGGAUGAAGGCCUUAGGGUUGUAAACUCCUGUCAAGAGGGAAUAAGCAAGUGAAGGUACCUCUAGAGGAAGGGGCGGCUAAUUCCGUGCCAGCAGCCGCGGUAACACGGAAGCCCCGAGCGUUGUUCGGAUUCAUUGGGCGUAAAGGGUGCGUAGGCGGCGCGGAAAGUCCGGCGUGAAAGGCAGAGGCUCAACCUCUGGACUGCGUUGGAUACUUCCGUGCUUGAGGACUGGAGGGGAGACUGGAAUUCACGGUGUAGCAGUGAAAUGCGUAGAUAUCGUGAGGAAGACCGGUGGCGAAGGCGAGUCUCUGGACAGAUCCUGACGCUGAGGCACGAAGGCUGGGGGAGCGAACAGGAUUAGAUACCCUGGUAGUCCCAGCAGUAAACGAUGUGAGCUUGAUGUGGGGGGAUUCGACCCCUUCCGUGUCGAAGCUAACGCGAUAAGCUCACCGCCUGAGGAGUACGGCCGCAAGGCUAAAACUCAAAGAAAUUGACGGGGGACCCGCA
rnacentral:rRNA from 1 species